ACUCCAGGAAUAAGGGGGUGCUAAUCACGUGCCAGCAGCCGCGGUAAUACGUGACCCCCGAGCGUUAUCCGGAUUUAUUGGGCGUAAAGCGUCUGUAGGCGAUUUGGAAAGUCUUUGGUUAAAUACCAAGAGCUUAACUUUUGGGCUGCCAGAGAUACUUCCAGAAUAGAGGGCGUUAGAGGCUGAUGGAACGGUCGGUGUAGAGGUGAAAUUCGUNGNUAUCGACCGGAACACCGAAAGCGAAGGCNUUCAGCUGGGGCGACCCUGACGCUGAGAGACGAAAGCGUGGGCAUGGAAAAGGAUUAGAUACCCUUGUACUCCACGCUGUAAACGAUGGACACUGGCUAUUUGAAGUGUCGACCCUUCAAGUGGCGAAGCUAACGCGUUAAGUGUCCCGCCUGGGAAGUACGGCGGCAACGCUAAAACUCAAAGGAAUAGACGGGGACUCACACAAGCGGUGGACCAUGUGGCUUAAUUCGACAACAAGCGAGGAACCUUACCAGGGCUUGACAGGCUAGUGAAAUCCGCCAGAAACGGCGGACUACCCACAAGGACACUAGCCCAGGUGCUGCAUGGUUGUCGUCAGCAUGUGUUUUGAAAUGCACGCUUAAAUGCGGUAACAUGCGCAACCCUUACCCUAUGUUUUAUUUGUCAUAGGGAACUGCCUGGGAUGACCAGGAGGAAGGUGAGGAUGACGCCAAAUCAGCAUGGCCCUUUGAUGCCCUGGGCUGCACACGUGGUACAAUGGGGCUGACAAUGGGUUGCUAAGGGGUAACCUGGAGCUAAUCCCAUCAAACGGUCUCUUAGUUCGGAUUGAGGUCUGCAACUCGACCUCAUGAAGCCGGAAUCGCUAGUAAUCGCCAAUCAGCAACGUGGCGAUGAAUAUGUUCCUGAGUCUUGUACUCACCGCCCGUCACAUUAGGGAAGCCGGCAGUAGCCGAAGUUCCGCUUUGAGCGGACCUAAGCUAAGGUCGGUAACCAGAAUGAAGUCGUAACAAGGUAACCUUAAUUAAAA
rnacentral:rRNA from 1 species